rnacentral:rRNA from 1 species
AUUGAACGCUGGCGGCAUGCCUUACACAUGCAAGUCGAACGGCAGCACGGACUUCGGUCUGGUGGCGAGUGGCGAACGGGUGAGUAAUACAUCGGAACGUGCCUAGUAGUGGGGGAUAACUACUCGAAAGAUGUGCUAAUACCGCGUAAGACCACAGUGCCACAUGGCACAGGGGUCAAAGGAGCAAUCCGGUUUGAGAUGGGCUCGCGUCCGAUUAGCUAGUUGGUGAGAUAACGGCCCACCAAGGCGACGAUCGGUAGCCGACCUGAGAGGGUGAUCGGCCACAUUGGAACUGAGAAACGGUCCAG